rnacentral:rRNA from 1 species
GUAGGUGGCAAGCGUUGUCCGGAAUUAUUGGGCGUAAAGCGCGCGCAGGGCGGUCCUUUAAGUCUGAUGUGAAAGCCCACGGCUCAACCGUGGAGGGUCAUUGGAAACUGGGGGACUUGAGUACAGAAGAGGAAAGCGGAAUUCCAAGUGUAGCGGUGAAAUGCGUAGAGAUUUGGAGGAACACCAGUGGCGAAGGCGGCUUUCUGGUCUGUAACUGACGCUGAGGCGCGAAAGCGUGGGGAGCAAACAGGAUUAGAUACCCUGGUAGUCCACGCCGUAAACGAUGAGUGCUAAGAGUUAGGGGGUUUCCGCCCCUUAGUGCUGCAGCUAACGCAUUAAGCACUCCGCCUGGGGAGUACGGCCGCAAGGCUG